rnacentral:rRNA from 1 species
UAACCUGCCCAAGAGAUCGGGAUAACACCUGGAAACAGAUGCUAAUACCGGAUAACAACAGAUGAUGCCUAUCAACUGUUUAAAGGAUGGUUCUGCUAUCACUCUUGGAUGGACCUGCGGUGCAUUAGCUAGUUGGUAGGGUAACGGCCUACCAAGGCGAUGAUGCAUAGCCGAGUUGAGAGACUGAUCGGCCACAUUGGGACUGAGACACGGCCCAAACUCCUACGGGAGGCAGCAGUC